rnacentral:misc_RNA from 1 species
CCGUUAACGACAAUGGAGGCCCUGUUGGUUCUCCCGCAACACUAACUUGUGAACUCGGUCAGGUCCGGAAGGAAGCAGCCGCAGCAGGCGAGGUGUGUGC